rnacentral:rRNA from 1 species
GACGAACGCUGGCGGCGUGCCUAAUACAUGCAAGUAGAACGCACAGUUUAUACCGUAGCUUGCUACACCAUAAACUGUGAGUUGCGAACGGGUGAGUAACGCGUAGGUAACCUGCCUGGUAGCGGGGGAUAACUAUUGGAAACGAUAGCUAAUACCGCAUAAUAUUGAUUAUUGCAUGAUAGUUGAUUGAAAGAUGCUAUUGCAUCACUACCAGAUGGACCUGCGUUGUAUUAGCUAGUAGGUGAGGUAACGGCUCACCUAGGCGACGAUACAUAGCCGACCUGAGAGGGUGAUCGGCCACACUGGGACUGAGACACGGCCCAGACUCCUACGGGAGGCAGCAGUAGGGAAUCUUCGGCAAUGGACGAAAGUCUGACCGAGCAACGCCGCGUGAGUGAAGAGGGUUUUCGGAUCGUAAAGCUCUGUUGUAAGAGAAGAACGGGUGUGAGAGUGGAAAGUUCACACUGUGACGGUAUCUUACCAGAAAGGGACGGCUAACUACGUG